UGCGGGGGGAGCAAGCGUUGUUCGGAUUUACUGGGCGUAAAGGGCGCGUAGGCGGUCAGCACAAGUCAGUUGUGAAAUCUCCGGGCUUAACCCGGAAAGGUCAACUGAUACUGUGCGACUAGAGUGCGGAAGGGGCAACUGGAAUUCUCGGUGUAGCGGUGAAAUGCGUAGAUAUCGAGAGGAACACCUGCGGCGAAGGCGGGUUGCUGGGCCGACACUGACGCUGAGGUGCGAAAGCGUGGGGAGCAAACAGG
rnacentral:rRNA from 1 species